rnacentral:pre_miRNA from 1 species
UCUUAAUGCUACCAUGAGUUUUCGUGUACAAGUUUAAUCGUCUGUCUUAUUUAAAUUUUUUAUAAUUAGUAUUUUUAUUGUUAUGAGAUUAUUUAUAUUUACUUUACUAGUGACUUAUGUUUUUAAUUUUUUUAAAAUUUUCUUUAAAUAAGCUGGAUGAUCACAAGUUUAACGCGGAAAACAUGGCUGUA